GCCCUCGUGGACUAAUGGAUAUGUACUCGGUCUCCUAAACCGGAAAUUGUGGGUUCGAAUCCCGCAGAGAGUA